rnacentral:rRNA from 1 species
UACGGAGGGGGCGAGCGUUGUUCGGAAUUACUGGGCGUAAAGGGCGCGUAGGCGGCUUUAUCAGUCAGACGUGAAAGCCCCGGGCUCAACCUGGGAUGUGCGUUUGAUACUGUAGAGCUAGAGACCGGAAGAGGAUGGCGGAAUAUCCAGUGUAGAGGUGAAAUUCGUAGAUAUUGGAUGGAACACCAGUGGCGAAGGCGGCCAUCUGGUCCGGAUCUGACGCUGAGGCGCGAAAGCGUGGGGAGCAAACAGG